rnacentral:rRNA from 1 species
GGCGGCGCGCCUAACACAUGCAAGUCGAACGGAGAGCGUGUUCUGAAUUCUCGGAAGGAAAGAUACGUUCUAGUGGCGGACGGGUGAGUAACACGUGAGCAACCUGCCUUGCAGAGAGGGAUAACGAUUGGAAACGAUCGCUAAUACCACAUAACAUACAGAUAUCGCAUGAUGACUGUAUCAAAGAUUUAUCGCUGCAAGAUGGGCUCGCGUCUGAUUAGAUAGUUGGUGAGGUAACGGCUCACCAAGUCGACGAUCAGUAGCCGGACUGAGAGGUUGAACGGCCACAUUGGGACUGAGACACGGCCCAGACUCCUACGGGAGGCAGCAGUGGGGGAUAUUGCACAAUGGGGGAAACCCUGAUGCAGCGACGCCGCGUGAGGGAAGAAGGUUUUCGGAUUGUAAACCUCUGUCUUUGGGGACGAUAAUGACGGUACCCAAGGAGGAAGCUCCGGCUAACUACGUGCCAGCAGCAGC